CCGCCCCCUCCUUCCUGAGCGCUGCUUCACCGUGUUAUAUCCCAAUUUGUGUCAUAUUGGGUCGUGUUAUAUCGGGGCAGAGGUGUGUCAGUUUUAAUUGUGU